AGAUUAAGUUAUUAAGGGCGCACGGUGGAUGCCUUGGCACUAGAAGCCGACGAAGGACGUUACUAACGACGAUAUGCUUUGGGUAGCUGUAAGUAAGCGUUGAUCCAGAGAUUUCCGAAUGGGGGAACCCAGCACGAGUUAUGUCGUGUUAUCGACAAGUGAAUUCAUAGCUUGUCAGAAGGCAGACCCGGAGAACUGAAACAUCUUAGUACCCGGAGGAAGAGAAAGAAAAAUCGAUUCCCUGAGUAGCGGCGAGCGAAACGGGAAGAGCCCAAACCAAUAAGCUUGCUUAUUGGGGUUGUAGGACACUCUAUACGGAGUUACAAAGGAAUAUAUUAGACGAAUCAUCUGGAAAGUUGAAUCAAAGAAGGUAAUAAUCCUGUAGUUGAAAAUAUAUUCUCUCUUGAGUGGAUCCUGAGUACGACGGAGCACGUGAAAUUCCGUCGGAAUCUGGGAGGACCAUCUCCUAAGGCUAAAUACUCUCUAGUGACCGAUAGUGAACCAGUACCGUGAGGGAAAGGUGAAAAGUACCCCGGAAGGGGAGUGAAAGAGAACUUGAAACCGUGUGCUUACAAGUAGUCAGAGCCCGUUAAUGGGUGAUGGCGUGCCUUUUGUAGAAUGAACCGGCGAGUUACGAUCUGAUGCAAGGUUAAGCAGGAGAUGUGGAGCCGUAGCGAAAGCGAGUCUGAAUAGGGCGUUGAGUAUUUGGUCGUAGACCCGAAACCAGGUGAUCUACCCAUGGUCAGGUUGAAGUUCAGGUAACACUGAAUGGAGGACCGAACCGACUUACGUUGAAAAGUGAGCGGAUGAACUGUGGGUAGCGGAGAAAUUCCAAUCGAACUUGGAGAUAGCUGGUUCUCUCCGAAAUAGCUUUAGGGCUAGCCUCAAGUGAUGAUUAUUGGAGGUAGAGCACUGUUUGGACGAGGGGCCCCUCUCGGGUUACCGAAUUCAGACAAACUCCGAAUGCCAAUUAAUUUAACUUGGGAGUCAGAACAUGGGUGAUAAGGUCCGUGUUCGAAAGGGAAACAGCCCAGACCACCAGCUAAGGUCCCAAAAUAUAUGUUAAGUGGAAAAGGAUGUGGCGUUGCCCAGACAACUAGGAUGUUGGCUUAGAAGCAGCCAUCAUUUAAAGAGUGCGUAAUAGCUCACUAGUCGAGUGACACUGCGCCGAAAAUGUACCGGGGCUAAACAUAUUACCGAAGCUGUGGAUUGUCCGUAGGACAAUGGUAGGAGAGCGUUCUAAGGGCGUUGAAGCAUGAUCGCAAGGACAUGUGGAGCGCUUAGAAGUGAGAAUGCCGGUGUGAGUAGCGAAAGACGGGUGAGAAUCCCGUCCACCGAUUGACUAAGGUUUCCAGAGGAAGGCUCGUCCGCUCUGGGUUAGUCGGGUCCUAAGCUGAGGCCGACAGGCGUAGGCGAUGGAUAACAGGUUGAUAUUCCUGUACCACCUAGCAUCGUUUUAAUCGAUGGGGGGACGCAGUAGGAUAGGCGAAGCGUACGAUUGGAUUGUACGUCUAAGCAGUGAGAUUGAGUGUUAGGCAAAUCCGGCACUCUUAAGAUUGAGCUGUGAUGGGGAGAGGAAAUUGUUUCCUCGAGUCGUUGAUUUCACACUGCCGAGAAAAGCCUCUAGAUAGAUAAUAGGUGCCCGUACCGCAAACCGACACAGGUAGUCAAGAUGAGAAUUCUAAGGUGAGCGAGCGAACUCUCGUUAAGGAACUCGGCAAAAUGACCCCGUAACUUCGGGAGAAGGGGUGCUCUUUAGGGUGCAAGCCCAGAAGAGCCGCAGUGAAUAGGCCCAAGCGACUGUUUAUCAAAAACACAGGUCUCUGCUAAACCGUAAGGUGAUGUAUAGGGGCUGACGCCUGCCCGG
rnacentral:rRNA from 1 species